rnacentral:lncRNA from 1 species
CUUGUCCUCUAGAAUCCUGUCUUGUUUUCCACAUGUCUUAUGCUUUUCUUCUCUGCUCUGGUCUGUCUUAACCUAGCAGCUAGUGGCCUGCCAAUCACAGGACAUCAGGCCCCAGGAUGCACAGUGCCCAGCAUCUCCUCCAGGUUCAGCUUUGACAUCUUCCUGCAGCGCGUUUACUCCAAUCCCAGGACUUUCAGUUUGGCCAGAGAAACAAGUCUAUGACUGCUUGUGGACGUUGCCUACAUGAAGCAGGCCACUUCAUCCCUUUGGGCUGGAAAAACAGCAUUCCUAUGAUGCCUGACUCAUCUGAGCCUUCCUUUGCUAGAGUAUCCUUUCCUGUAGUAAAUUUCAGGUAAGAGAAAUAGAGCAAGUCUUUCAGAUGAGGACCUCGAUGGAAAAGUAGUCCAGCUGCUUGGACAUGGUAGAACACCCCUGUACUGCUGGCACUCUAGAGGAGUUG